CCGCACUCAGCGGCGCCAAUGGACUGCGAGGGCCUCACUUGCGCUCGUCCACUGGCUGCGGAGACCUCACGCUCCGCCCUCGCCCGGGGUUUCCGUGCGGGAGGCGGGGCGUCGCGAGGGGCGGGGGGGGACGCCGCGCAAAGCUUCUGAUACACAGGUCGGCUGCUGUACCUGGGUGCUCCACUGCACGUUCUAAAUUCUUCAGUGGGCUUACCAGAUGGCUCAGUGGAAAGAAUCUUCCUGCAACACAGGAGAUGCAGGUUCAAUCCCAGGGUUGGCAAGAUACCCUGGAGGAGGAAAUGGCAACCCACUCCAGUAUUCUUGCCUGGGAAGUCCCAUGGAUAGAGGAGCCUCGAAGGCUCCAUGGGGUCACAAAAAGAGUGAGACAUGACUUAGCAACUAAAAAGUUCUUCAACAGUGAGAGUCCCUCACUCACUCAACACUGUCCCUUCAGUGAGAAGCCCCUGCUCUGGUGCUGGGAAUGAAGCCCUCACAGCAGCAGAAUGGACAGCCAAAGCCCUACCUGCAGACCUGCCCCUCUAUGAUACACACACCCCGCAAGGGACAGCUCAGGACAUGCAACCACUGUUAGUGUCCUCCCAGGCACGUCCGGGCCUUUCUGCUCCUGCCCCCUUUCUCACUGGGCUGAUCCAAGAUCCAUCUCAGGUGCCCAUCUCCCUUAACCAGCAGACCCUUCAUUAACAAAUGGUUGGCACCCGGGAGAUACACCAUGAAGGCGGACCUGGUCCUGGAGCUCUGAGUCCUGUGGGUGAGGGAGGGGAGGAACUUCUGGAGAAGCAGGCCGGUGGGGUGGGCCUCAGAGAGGAAUAACCAUCUGGACAGAGACCUAGAAGGUAGGGAGGCACUGACACUAUUGGGGAGAGUAAUGGGGUGGUGACAAACGCAAGGUGUGCUCAGCCGGAUGGGGCACAGAGGUCGGGACUGUGCCUAGCACGGGGGGGCAGCCAAUGCUGCCCAGAUACACAGAUGUCAUGACUGUGUGGGCACACCAGUCACUGGUCCGCACUCAUGAAGAGGGGAUCUGAGAAGAGGGGGAUCCCAGAGCCAGGGAAGGUGCCUGGGUCCUGAGGGAGGCAGUCCCGCUCCAGCCUGGAGGCUGGGCACCCACAGCACUGCCUGAACGGCCAGGGUGCCAGUGGGUCAACCCAUCUAGAUCUUCCUGUUGAGGAAGGUGCCACUCACCUCCCUGCCUGCCAGGCCCACUCCUGCAUGACACCUGUCACUGUCCUCGGGAGAAGGACAGGCUGGGCCCCAGCACCAAAGCUGCCACAUGAGGGCUAGGG
ensembl:lncRNA